GGCAAAGUGAGAAAAAUGCAUGAAUAAAGACAGUUUAAUAAGUGAAGAAGAAAGGAAAUUAAAAAAAAAGUGAUGCAAAGCCAGUCACUCACCACCUCUAACGAGCAGAUUGAUGCUCAGUCAGUCUAAGCAAUAGCUACUAUGAGAAAAUUACCCAUUUUAUUGCUGGACAUGAUGUUAUAUGAUGUGGAAUAUAUCUCUGGUCAAUUUGAAUCAGCUGUCCUGGCUGUAUCCCCUUCUUGUCUUGCCCAACUCCAACCUACUCACUGUGGGAGACAGAGUGAGAAACAGAAAACCUCGGCUCUGUGUAAAGAACUGUUCAGAAGUAGCUAAAGGACUGAUGUGUUAUCAGCACUGUUUUGGCCACAAAUAUAAAAAAAGAACUAUAUGGACUGCUGUGAAGAAAAUUAACUCAAUUCUAACCUGACCUAGUGCAAUCGCAAAAGUUAUCUUUGAUGUCUGUGUCCAGAACUCCAGUGCUGCUGCA
rnacentral:lncRNA from 1 species